rnacentral:rRNA from 1 species
CGCGCAGGCGGCGCGUUAAGUCCGGGGUGAAAUCCCACGGCUCAACUGUGGGGGGACCCGUCGGAUACUGGCGUGCUGGAGUGCGGGAGAGGGAAGCGGAAUUCCACGUGUAACGGUGAAAUGUAUAGAUAUGUGGAGGAACACCGGUGGCGAAGGCGGCUUCCUGGACCGUAACUGACGCUGAGGCGCGAAAGCUGGGGGAGCGAACA